GACGCUUCCGGGAGGUCUAGGCGGCUGCCGUGAGCCGGUCCGAAACGGCUCUAGGUGCACUGUCCGGCUCCAGCCAGGUCCGCUACGCCUGGAGAGCAUGGAGGCAAGUUCUGCCGGCUCCACCUGCAAAGCAGAGCCCCUUUCCACGACUGUGCAGCACCGCUCGCUCCAGCCCCACCAUACCCGCCUGGACGGAGACCGACCGCAGCCUGGGAGAGCCUCCAAGCCUGGAGGCGGGCGCGCGAGCCCUUUCCAAGGAGAACCCACAGCGGCUUCCCCUCUUGCUCCAGGGGCCUCUAGAUCCCACCCCACCUGGCACCUGCGUCUCUCCCAGAACUCGGCCUGCCCCUACCUUCCCGCCAGCCCCCACCCUGCUGGGGCUACUGGGACCUCCUAGCGGCAUGCAGCGUUCAGGCUCAACCCCCGCUGUGCUCUGCGGUCGCAGCUGCAGCCGCUUCGGUGCUCCAAGACCAGAGAGGAAGCAAAGACAGAGCUUUCCCAGCCAGGCAUCGCUGCUUUGGCCUUGAAGCUCAGCGUGUGGCUACCUGGACCAAUUCUGUCUGAUGGGGUGUGCAGUAGUGUCAUGAACUACUUCUAUCCCAGGAAGUAACUUGUAAAUGAGUGGAUGAGCCAAUUCUCCUUCUUUCUCUUCCUGCUGGCUGAAGUGUGGACAUGAUGGCAGGAGCUGCAGCAGUCACAUUGGACCAUGGGUCAUCGUGGGAAUGGAAGUCACACAAGGGUAUUUAAAGCCACACAAGGAUAAUGAGCACUGGAUAGAUGGAGCCCGAGUCCCCAUCACAGUGUAGCCCCUGUAACAGAUCUAGACUUCCUGCCUCCCACAUUGAGUAAACUGCUCUCUUGCUUAAGCCACUAUUAUGUUAGGAUUUUUUCAACCCAUAGUCAGAGAUAGUCCUAACUGAUUCACCACCCUCAGAGAGUUUACAGCCAAUUAUGUUUCUCAUGAAAAAGGUUAGCCAGUGGUUGUAAGUGAUCCCGGACUGGAGCGCCAG
rnacentral:lncRNA from 1 species